rnacentral:rRNA from 1 species
GAUGAACGCUGGCGGCGUGCCUAACACAUGCAAGUCGAGCGAACGGACGAGAAGCUUGCUCCUCUGAUGUUAGCGGCGGACGGAUGAGUAACACGUGGAUAACCUACCUCUAAGACUGGGAUAAUAACGGGAAACCGGAGCUACUACCGGAUGAUAUUUUGAACCGCAUGGUUCAAAAGUGAAAGACGGUCUUGCUGUCACUUAUAGAUGGAUCCGCGCUGCAUUAGCUAGUUGGUAAGGUAACGGCUUACCAAGGCGACGAUGCAUAGCCGACCUGAGAGGGUGAUCAGCCACACUGGAACUGAGACACGGUCCAGACUCCUACGGGAGGCAGCAGUAGGGAAUCUUCCGCAAUGGGCGAAAGCCUGACAGAGCAACACCGCGUGAGUGAUGAAGGUCUUCGGAUCGUAAAGCUCUGUUGUUAGGAAAGAACAUAAGUGUGUGUAACUGUGCCCAUCAUGACGGUACCUAAUCAAUAAGCCACGGCUAACUUCGUG